rnacentral:rRNA from 1 species
GACGAACGCUGGCGGCGUGCCUAAUACAUGCAAGUCGAACGAGAGCGACCGGUGCUUGCACUGGUCAAUCUAGUGGCGAACGGGUGAGUAACACGUGGGUAACCUGCCCAUCAGAGGGGGAUAACAUUCGGAAACGGAUGCUAAAACCGCAUAGGUCCUUUAACCGCAUGGUUGAAGGAGGAAAAGAGGCGCAAGCUUCUGCUGAUGGAUGGACCCGCGGUGCAUUAGCUAGUUGGUGAGGUAACGGCUCACCAAGGCCGUGAUGCAUAGCCGACCUGAGAGGGUGAUCGGCCACAUUGGGACUGAGACACGGCCCAAACUCCUACGGGAGGCAGCAGUAGGGAAUCUUCCGCAAUGGACGCAAGUCUGACAGAGCAACGCCGCGUGAGUGAAGAAGGUUUUCGGAUCGUAAAACUCUGUUGUUAGAGAAGAACAAGUGCUAGAGUAACUGUUAGCGCCUUGACGGUAUCUAACCAGAAAGCCCGGUA